rnacentral:lncRNA from 1 species
GUUCGUUACAGACGCUUCAAUCAAACAUAAUUAACGAAGAGUGUCAUCUAUUAUAGUGCGCUGUUUACGGUGGAAAAAAAAAAGACGAGGAUAAUACCCUUUAACCACACCAGUUACGAAACUCGCAUUCAGUAACCGGCCACCUCGUGCGACAUUCCGGAGAGCUAGUUGAGGCGUAAGGCAGCUUGCAAAUUAUACGAAAACUCGCACUAAUUGGCGAGGUCAUAUUGUUCGUAGCGAUCGUUAGUUUCGUUAUCUAAGGUAGGUGGCGCGACAAUCUGUUGACGUCUGAAUUUCGAAUCAACGUUGGCGCCGAUAAUUUCGUACAGCAUUUAGCCGUUUCGUAACCGGCAUGAAUAAACUGCUCGUGGCUCGUGCCGGCCCGGGAUCCAGUGGGAUGGAAGCAGCAGUUGGCUCCGAACGCUGUCGUUCGAAACUGGCCCACCCGUUUGCGCCAACGACCUUCCUCCCAGCCGCUUAGGGACACAGCUGAACCAGCCGGCAAGAGCGUCGCUGAA